UACGAAGGGGGGCUAGCGUUUGCUCGGGAAUCACUGGGCGUAAAAGGGGUGCGUAGGCGGGGUCUUUAAGUCAGGGGGUGAAAAUCCUGGGAGCUCAACUCCAGAACUGCCCUUUGAUACUGAAGAUCUUGAGUUCGGGGAGAGGGUGAGUGGAACUGCGAGUGUAGAGGGUGAAAUUCGUAGAUAUUCGCAAGAACACCAGUGGGCGAAGGCGGCUCACUGGCCCCGAUACUGACGCUGAGGCACGAAAGCGUGGGGGAGCAAACAGGGU
rnacentral:rRNA from 1 species